rnacentral:rRNA from 1 species
CGAACCCACGAGCGUUGAAAAGCUCGGGGAUGACUUGUGGGUAGCGGUGAAAUUCCAAUCGAGCCCGGAGAUAGCUGGUUCUCCCCGAAAUAGCUUUAGGGCUAGCCUCAAGGUGAGAGAUACGGAGGUAGAGCACUGAAUGUCCUAGGGGGUAUUGCAUCUACCGAAGACUAUCAAACUCCGAAUGCCGUCAUCUUAUACUUGGGAGUCAGACUGUGGGUGAUAAGAUUCAUAGUCGAAAGGGCAACAGCCCAGAUCGUCAGCUAAGGUCCCUAAAUGUAAGUUAAGUGGUAAAGGAUGUGGGAUUGCACAGACAACCAGGAUGUUGGCUGAGAAGCAGCCACUCAUUCAAAGAGUGCGUAAUAGCUCACUGGUCGAGUGAUCCUGCGCCGAAGAUUUCCGGGGCUAAAACUUACUACCGAAGCUACGGCAUCAGUAAUGAUGGGUAGGGGAGCUUCCCAUACGGGUUGAAGCAUGACCGUAAGGACAUGUGGACAGUAUGGGAGUGAGAAUGUUGGCAUGAGUAGCGAGAUGUGGGUGAGAAUCCCACAGGCCGUAAACCCAAGGUUUCCAGGGGAAGGUUCGUCCGCCCUGGGUUAGUCGGGACCUAAGCUGAGGCCGAAAGGCGUAGGUGAUGGACAACAGGUUGAUAUUCCUGUACUACCGAUAACCGUUUGAGAGAAGGGAUGACACAGUAGGAUAAGCUAAGCACACUGUUGGUUAUGUGUGCCCAAGCAUUGAGGCAGUCAAAGUAGGCAAAUCCGCUUUGAUAAUGCUGGGAUGUGAUGGGGAGCGAAAUUUAGUAGCGAAGUAGCUGAUUUCACACUGUCAAGAAAAGUCUCUAUCGAGGUUAAAGGUACCCGUACCGCAAACCGACACAGGUGGGUGAGGAGAGUAUCCUAAGGCCAGCGAGAGAACUGUUGUUAAGGAACUCGGCAAAAUGACCCCGUAACUUAGGGAUAAGGGGUGCCACCAUCAGGUGGCCGCAGAGAAUAGGCCCAAGCGACUGUUUACCAAAAACAUAGGUUUCUGCUAAGUCGCAAGACGAUGUAUAGGAGCUGACGCCUGCCCGGUGCUGGAAGGUUAAGGGGAUCUGUUAGAGCAAUCGAAGCAGUGAACUUAAGCCCCAGUAAACGGCGGCCGUAACUAUAACGGUCCUAAGGUAGCGAAAUUCCUUGUCGGGUAAGUUCCGACCCGCACGAAAGGCGUAACGAUUUGGGCACUGUCUCAACAACAGACUCGGUGAAAUUGUAAUUCCGGUGAAGAUGCCGGAUACCUGCGACAGGACGGAAAGACCCCAUGGAGCUUUACUGUAGCUUGACAUUGGGUCUUGGUACUACAUGUACAGGAUAGGUGGGAGGCUUUGAAACCAGGACGCCAGUUUUGGCGGAGCCAUCCUUGGGAUACCACCCUUGUAGUACUGGGACUCUAACCAUAGGCCAUGAAUCUGGUCUUGGGACACUGUCAGGUGGGCAGUUUGACUGGGGCGGUCGCCUCCCAAAAGGUAACGGAGGCGCUCAAAGGUUCUCUCAGUACGGUCGGAAAUCGUACGUAGAGUGUAAAGGCAAAAGAGAGCUUGAUUGCAAGACAUACAGGUCGAGCAAGGAUGAAAAUCGGACUUAGUGAUCCGGUGGUUCUGCGUGGAAGGGCCAUCGCUCAACGGAUAAAAGCUACCCUGGGGAUAACAGGCUUAUCUCCCCCAAGAGUCCACAUCGACGGGGAGGUUUGGCACCUCGAUGUCGGCUCAUCACAUCCUGGGGCUGUAGUAGGUCCCAAGGGUUGGGCUGUUCGCCCAUUAAAGUGGUACGCGAGCUGGGUUCAGAACGUCGUGAGACAGUUCGGUCCCUAUCCGUCGCAGGCGUAGGAAAUUUGAGAAGACCUGUCCUUAGUACGAGAGGACCGGGAUGGACGUACCUCUGGUGUACCAGUUGUUCUGCCAAGGGCAUGGCUGGGUAGCUAUGUACGGAAUGGAUAAGCGCUGAAAGCAUCUAAGCGCGAAGCCAACUUCAAGAUAAGAUUUCCCACCGCAAGGGUAAGACCCCAGAAAGACUAUCUGGUUGAUAGGUCGAAGGUGUAAGUGCAGCAAUGUAUUUAGCUUAUCGAUACUAAUAGGUCGAGGACUUGACCAA